rnacentral:lncRNA from 1 species
UUCAGUGCUUAGCAAGGACAGAAGUUUUCUCCAGAUGGCUUUUCUGGAAAAAGUUCAGCUGUCUGUGUGUAAGCAGUGGUGAUGAACUGAAACUUCAGCAGUGACAUGACACCCUGUGUUCUCAGGUGCCAGAUGUGGAAAGCGAGGCUUGUUAUAAUGGAAUUUCCUCAUCAAGCAGAAUCAUUCCAUCCCUAGAAUACUAUCGUGGCAGCAUUCCAGUUCCUGGACUAAUUGUGCCCUUGGGUUAAAGGCUUUUAGGAGAUAAGCUGAGUCUUCAUCCAACAAGAAUUCAGAGUGUCUACUAUAAUUCCAGCCAGGAGAAAGCUUUCCAGAGGUAAAAUAACAUGUGUCAUGUUUUCAAGGGCUCGGGGCUAGUGAGGGC